rnacentral:rRNA from 1 species
AGUGAACGCUGGCGGUAGGCCUAACACAUGCAAGUCGAACGGCAGCACAGUAAGAGCUUGCUCUUACGGGUGGCGAGUGGCGGACGGGUGAGGAAUACAUCGGAAUCUACUUUUUCGUGGGGGAUAACGUAGGGAAACUUACGCUAAUACCGCAUACGACCUACGGGUGAAAGCAGGGGAUCUUCGGACCUUGCGCGAUUGAAUGAGCCGAUGUCGGAUUAGCUAGUUGGCGGGGUAAAGGCCCACCAAGGCGACGAUCCGUAGCUGGUCUGAGAGGAUGAUCAGCCACACGGGAACUGAGACACGGUCCAGACUCCUACGGGAGGCAGCAGUGGGGAAUAUUGGACAAUGGGCGCAAGCCUGAUCCAGCCAUACCGCGUGGGUGAAGAAGGCCUUCGGGUUGUAAAGCCCUUUUGUUGGGAAAGAAAAGCAGCAGGUUAAUACCCCGCUGUUCCGACGGUACCCAAAGAAUAAGCACCGGCUAACUUCGUG